GUCUUCUGUGAUAUUUGCCCAUGGGUAUGCAUGGCAACGAAAUUUAAGUAAGCAUUUUAGGAGGAAAGAACAUGUAAAACUGGAAAAUAAGUUCACUGGACAACCUUUCCUGCUUAUCCGGUUUUGUUCGCGAGAUAUUUUAGUUUCAUUUGAUGUAUAUAAUGUAAACGAAAUGAAUCUUUGGCAUUAUACAGUACAAGCAAGUAAAAUAUUAGUUUCAAAGGUAGCAGUUUCG